UGAUAUUAACCAAUUAUCAAAUACUUGUUUCCCACUAGCACUAAAUUGCAAUAUUUAAGGAUUUAUUAUUUAUUAACAAAAUUUCAUAUUAACUGCAAUUAAAACAACACAUAUUAAUACAAUAUAAAAUAAAAAUAUAUGUAUAUUUUAUACUAAGAACUUACCUAACAUAUACCAACGAUUAACUCAUAGGGACAAUUCCACAAUUUUUUCUUUUCCUCGAUUAUCCUCCG
rnacentral:lncRNA from 1 species